rnacentral:misc_RNA from 1 species
GAAAUGCGAUAAGUAAUGUGAAUUGCAGAAUUCAGUGAAUCAUCGAAUCUUUGAACGCACCUUGCGCUCCUUGGUAUUCCUUGGAGCAUGCCUGUUUGAGUAUCAUGAAAUCUUCAAAGUAAAUCUUUUGUUAACUCAAUUGGUUUCUACUUUGGUAUUGGAGGUCUUUGCAGCUUCACACCUGCUCCUCUUUGUUCAUUAGCUGGAUCUCAGUGUUAUGCUUGGUUCCACUCGGCGUGAUAAGUUAUCUAUCGCUGAGGACACUGUAAAAGGUGGCCAAGGUAAAUGCAGAUGAUCCGCUUCUAAUAGUCCAUUGACUUGGACAAUAUUUUUAUGAUCUGAUCUCAAAUCAGGUAGGACUACCCGCUGAACUUAAGC